rnacentral:rRNA from 1 species
UACGGAGGGGGCUAGCGUUGUUCGGAAUUACUGGGCGUAAAGCGCACGUAGGCGGCUUUGUAAGUUAGAGGUGAAAGCCCAGGGCUUAACCCUGGAAUUGCCUUUAAGACUGCAUCGCUAGAAUCGUGGAGAGGUGAGUGGAAUUCCGAGUGUAGAGGUGAAAUUCGUAGAUAUUCGGAAGAACACCAGUGGCGAAGGCGACUCACUGGGUCUCAACUGACGCUGAGGCACGAAAGCCAGGGGAGCGAACGGG